CCUACGGGAGGCUGCAGUGGGGGAUAUUGCACAAUGGGGGAAACCCUGAUGCAGCGACGCCGCGUGUGGGAAGACGGUCCUCUGGAUUGUAAACCACUGUCCCCAGGGACGAAGAUGACGGUACCCGGGGAGGAAGCUCCGGCUAACUACGGGCCAGCAGCGGCGGUAAUACGUAGGGAGAACUCGUUGUCGGGAAUUACUGGGUGUAAAGGGAGCGUAGGCGGGAUGGCAAGUUGAGGGUAAAGUCUACCGGCUCAACUGGUAGUCGCACUCGAAACUGCUAUUCUUGAGUGAAGGAGAGGCAGGCGGAAUUCCUAGUGUAGCGGUGAAAUGCGUAGAUAUUAGGAGGAACACCAGUGGCGAAGGCGGCCUGCUGGGC
rnacentral:rRNA from 1 species